rfam:Rattus norvegicus chromosome 8, whole genome shotgun sequence.
GGGGAUUUAGCUCAGCGGUAGAGCGCUUGCCUGGCGAGCGCAAGGCCCUGGGUUCGGUCCCCAGCUCCG